AGGAGGUAUCGGGUUCUAGACCUCUUCUCGGGGGCAUAGGUAGACUGCACUGCAGACAUUGGGUAUAUUGGGGGGAAAUAAAUGGCUGUGUGGGGUUAGUGUUUAACAGAGGUGAAAAGGCCGAAGCUCACGAGUAGGGUCCAGCUGCAGCCCCGGAGAACAACACUCUGGCGUGACAACAACCCUGGCGCGACCGUAAAACCCCAAGAAGAAGAAAAAGAACAAGAACCCUGGCGCGACGGAAGUACUCUGGCGUGACGGAAGUGAUUUAUUUUUUUUACACACCGCUAAAUUGGAUACCAAAGAUGAACCAUGGAAGAAGAAACAAAGUGGAAGUGGUAGUCCACAAGCCGGUGUUCACGAGAGUUUCAACUGCUACUUUGCAAAGAAAAUGUUGCAGAAAAAUCUGCAGCCUCAUCACAGGGGGAUGAUGUCAAAACUGGUUUUAUGGAUUCGUUAGAAGAAAACGCUACAUGGCAGCAUUGAUUGAUUAAAGCCCAACAGGUGCGCAACCCCAGCGAGGCUGCUCUGUUGCCCCCGGCACGUAGAUGCGGCACGGCGGACUCAAAGUAACGAGACCUCAUUGAAUGAAGCUGAAGUUAUUAUUUUGCUUUUUUAAAUCGAAAAUUUGCUCUAUGUUUUUACCUGUUUGCGACGAAGGACUGAAUCUGUGAUUUAAUGUGAUAUAGUUAAAUUGAAGAAGAUUGUCAUGUGAGUUAUUGUAUACCACACAAUGGUGAUUUAGCCAAUGGCCCACUGAUGAAAGCCCUUCCAUUUGAAGUUUGAAGACCUGCUGAAUAAAGUGCUUGGGACCCAG